rnacentral:rRNA from 1 species
GUCUACAGCCAUACCACCCUGAAAGCGCCUGAUCUUGUCUGAUCUCGGAAGCUAAGCAGGGUCAGGCCUGGUUAGUACUUGGAUGGGAAAGUAUACCAAGCUCAAUCUUCU